GACGAACGCUGGCGGCGUGCUUAACACAUGCAAGUCGAACGGAAAGGCCUGCUUUCCCUUGUGGAUUGCGGGUACUCGAGUGGCGAACGGGUGAGUAACACGUGAGUGAUCUGCCCCCAACUUGGGUAUAAGCCUGGGAAACUGGGUCUAAUUCCCGAUAGGACUGCAGGGUGGUGCCUGUGGUGGAAAACGAUUUUCUAGUGGUUGGGGAUGAGCUCGCGGCCUAUCAGCUUGUUGGUGGGGUAAUGGCCUACCAAGGCGGCGACGGGUAGCCGGCCUGGGAGGGUGGACGGCCACAUUGGGACUGAGAUACGGCCCAGACUCCUACGGGAGGCAGCAGGGGGGAAUAUUGCACAAGGGGCGGAAGCCUGAUGCAGCGACGCCGCGGGGGGGAUGACGGCCUUCGGGUUGUAAACUCCUUUCGACCGCGAGGAAGCCACCUGGUUGGAAGGGUGGUGACGGUAGUGGUAGAAGAAGCACCGGCUAACUACGUG
rnacentral:rRNA from 1 species